rnacentral:rRNA from 1 species
UACCGCAUGUGGUCUCUUUUCGCAUGAAAAGACGACUAAAGUUUGUAAUGACUCUUCAAGAGGGGCUCGCGACCUAUCAGCUUGCUAGGUGAGGUGAACGCUCACCACGGCAAAGAGCUGGUAGCUGUGUCUGAGAGGAUGAUCAGCCACACUGUAACUGAGAUACGUGUCCAGACACCUACGGGUGGCAGCAGUUUCGAAUCAUUCACAAUGUGUGAAACCCUGAUAGUGCAACGCCCCGUGCAGGAUGACGGCCUACGGGUUGUAAACUCCUGUCACCAAGGAACAAACGGCAGGUUCAUAGCCUGUCCUGAGUUAACUUGGAGAGGAAGAGGUGGCUAACUCCUGUGCCAGCAGCCGCGGUAAUACGGAGACCUCGAGCGUUACUCGGAUUCACUGGGCGUAAAGAGUAUGUAGGCGGUAUGGUAUGUCAGGUGUGAAAGCCCGAAGCUCAACUUCGGAAUUGCGCCUGAAACUACCGGACUUGAGGCCUGGAUAGGGGAGUGGAAUUACUGGUGUAGCGUUGAAAUGCGUAGAUAUCAGGAGGAACACCAAUGGCGAAGGCAGCUCCCUGGACAGGUUCUGACGCUGAG